rnacentral:rRNA from 1 species
UACGUAGGGUGCGAGCGUUGUCCGGAAUUACUGGGCGUAAAGAGCUCGUAGGUGGUUUGUCGCGUUGUUCGUGAAAACUCACAACUCAAUUGUGGGCGUGCGGGCGAUACGGGCAGACUGGAGUACUGCAGGGGAGACUGGAAUUCCUGGUGUAGCGGUGGAAUGCGUAGAUAUCGGGAGGAACACCAGUGGCGAAGGCGGUUACCUGGAGCUUUGCUGACGCUGAUGCGCGAAAGCGUGGGGAGCGAUCCGG